CAAAAUUUUAAUGAUGAACUUGAUACCAUAAGCAACAAUUUACCACCCACAUCAGAAAAUCAGAAUUUUAAUGAUGAACUUGAUAUCACAAGCAACAAUUUACCACUCACCUCAGAAAUACCUAGAUACUCUAUAAAAAAUUAUGAUAAAAAUAAGCUAAAUACACUUGAUCACUUCAAAUCUCU